UGGGGAAUAUUGCACAAUGGAGGGAACUCUGAUACAGCGACGCCGCGUGAACGAAGAAGGCUUUCGAGUCGUAAAGUUCUUUUAUAUGGGAAGAUAAUGACGGUACCAUAAGAAAAAGCCCCGGCUAACUACGUGCCAGCAGCCGCGGUAAUACGUAGGGGGCUAGCGUUGUCCGGAAUCACUGGGCGUAAAGGGUUCGCAGGCGGAAAUGCAAGUCAGGUGUAAAAGGCAGUAGCUUAACUACUGUAAGCAUUUGAAACUGCAUAUCUUGAGAAGAGUAGAGGUAAGUGGAAUUUUUAGUGUAGCGGUGAAAUGCGUAGAUAUUAAAAAGAAUACCGGUGGCGAAGGCGACUUACUGGGCUCAUUCUGACGCUGAGGAACGAAAGCGUGGGUAGCAAACAGG
rnacentral:rRNA from 1 species